rnacentral:rRNA from 1 species
UACGUAGGGGGCAAGCGUUGUCCGGAUUUAUUGGGCGUAAAGAGCGUGUAGGCGGCCAAGCAGGUCUGCUGUGAAAACUCGAGGCUUAACCUCGAGAUGUCGGCGGAAACCAUCUGGCUAGAGUCCGGAAGAGGAGAGUGGAAUUCCUGGUGUAGCGGUGAAAUGCGCAGAUAUCGGGAAGAACACCCGUGGCGAAGGCGGCUCUCUGGGACGGUACUGACGCUGAGACGCGAAAGCGUGGGGAGCGAACAGG